rnacentral:rRNA from 1 species
UCGGGAAUUUUGUGCAAUGGGCGAAAGCCUGACACAGCAACGCCGCGUGAAGGAUGAAGUCCCUCGGGAUGUAAACUUCGUAAGAAUAGGAAGAAUAAAUGACGGUACUAUUUGUAAGGUCCGGCUAACUACGUGCCAGCAGCCGCGGUAAUACGUAGGGACCAAGCGUUGUUCGGAUUUACUGGGCGUAAAGCGUGCGCAGGCGGCUCCUUAAGUCAGAUGUGAAAUCCCCGGGCUUAACCUGGGAACUGCGUUUGAAACUGAGGGGCUAGAGUGUGGAAGAGGGGGGUGGAAUUCCAGGUGUAGCAGUGAAAUGCGUAGAGAUCUGGAGGAACACCGAUGGCGAAGGCAGCCCCCUGGGCUAACACUGACGCUCAUGCACGAAAGCGUGGGGAGCAAACAGGAUUAGAUACCCCCGUAGUCCCUGAGCGGGCUGGCAAGGCGCAU